CGGAGGGGCGUAGCGUUGUUCGGAAUUACUGGGCGUAAAGCGCACGUAGGCGGAUUGGUAAGUCAGAGGUGAAAUCCCGGGGCUCAACCCCGGAACUGCCUUUGAAACUCCCAGUCUUGAGGUCGAGAGAGGUGAGUGGAAUUCCGAGUGUAGAGGUGAAAUUCGUAGAUAUUCGGAGGAACACCAGUGGCGAAGGCGGCUCACUGGCUCGAUACUGACGCUGAGGUGCGAAAGCGUGGGGAGCAAACAGGAUU
rnacentral:rRNA from 1 species